CAGGGCUCACUCGCGGGCUGCGUGGGGCUCACCGAGCCCGGGAACGCAGGUUUCGGGGGGGUGGGAACGCGCAGCCCUGGGGCCGGGGCGGCUGCGUGCGGAGAUGGCGGCGCGAUGGAGCAGCGAGAACGUGGUGGUAGAGUUCCGCGACUCCCAGGCAACUGCAAUGUCCGUGGACUGUCUGGGGCAGCAUGCUGUGCUCUCCGGCCGCCGAUUCUUAUACAUCGUUAAUCUAGAUGCCCCUUUCGAAGGUCACCGAAAGAUCUCUCGCCAGAGCAAGUGGGACAUCGGAGCUGUGCAGUGGAAUCCUCAUGACAGCUUUGCGCACUAUUUUGCAGCUUCGAGUAACCAACGGGUUGACCUUUAUAAGUGGAAAGAUGGCAGCGGGGAAGUUGGCACUACCUUACAAGGCCACACUCGUGUAAUCAGUGACUUGGAUUGGGCAGUGUUUGAGCCGGAUCUCCUGGUUACCAGCUCUGUGGACACCUACAUCUACAUUUGGGAUAUCAAAGACACAAGGAAGCCUACCGUUGCGCUCUCUGCUGUAGCGGGUGCCUCACAGGUCAAAUGGAAUAAAAAAAAUGCUAAUUGCCUCGCCACCAGUCAUGAUGGGGACGUGCGGAUAUGGGACAAGCGGAAACCCAGCACCGCAGUGGAGUACCUCGCAGCCCACCUCUCCAAAAUCCAUGGCCUGGACUGGCACCCAGACAUCGAGCACAUUCUUGCUACCUCCAGCCAAGACAACUCUGUCAAGUUCUGGGACUACCGCCAGCCUCGGAAAUACCUCAGUAUUCUCCCUUGCCAGGUGCCCGUCUGGAAGGCCAGAUACACGCCUUUCAGCAAUGGACUGGUGACUGUGAUGGUUCCCCAGCUGCGGAGGGAAAAUAGUCUUCUCCUGUGGAACGUCUUUGACUUGAACACGCCAGUGCAUACCUUUGUGGGGCACGAUGAUGUGGUGCUGGAGUUCCAGUGGAGGAGACAGAAGGAGGGGUCCAAGGACUACCAACUGGUCACGUGGUCACGGGAUCAGACCUUGAGAAUGUGGCGGGUGGAUUCCCAGAUGCAGAGGCUUUGUGCAAAUGACAUAUUAGAUGGUGUUGAUGAGUUCAUUGAGAGCAUUUCUCUUCUGCCGGAACCAGAGAAGACCCUUCACACUCAAGAUACGGAUCACCAGCACAACUCGAGCCAUGGGGAGGAAGAAGUCUUAAAGGAAGACCCCCCAAGCAGUAUCCUGGAAGAGAAGAAGUCAGAUCAGCUGGGACUGCCUCAGACUCUGCAGCAGGAGUUCUCCCUGAUCAACGUGCAGAUCCGGAAUGUCAACGUGGAGAUGGAUGCGGCGGACAGGAGCUGCACGGUGUCUGUGCACUGCAGCAGCCACCGCGUCAAGAUGCUGGUCAAGUUCCCCGCGCAGUAUCCCAACAACGCUGCCCCCUCGUUCCAGUUUAUCAACCCCACCACCAUCACGUCCACGAUGAAAGCCAAGCUGCUGAAGAUCCUGAAAGACACUUCCCUGCAAAAAGUGAAGCGCAACCAGAGUUGUUUGGAGCCCUGCCUGCGCCAGCUCGUCUCCUGCCUUGAGUCUUUUGUGAACCAAGAAGACAGCACUUCCAGCAACCCCUUUGCACUCCCAAACUCCGUCACUCCGCCCUUACCAACGUUUGCCCGGGUGACCACUGCCUAUGGGUCAUACCAAGAUGCCAACAUUCCCUUCCCUAGGACCUCGGGGGCCAGGUUCUGUGGAGCAGGCUAUCUGGUGUAUUUCACGCGGCCUAUGACGAUGCAUCGAGCAGUGUCUCCGACAGAACCUACUCCGAGGUCUCUGUCAGCCUUGUCUGCUUAUCAUACUGGCUUGAUUGCGCCAAUGAAGAUCCGCACAGAGGCCCCUGGCAACCUUCGUUUAUACAGUGGGAGCCCCACUCGAAGUGAGAAAGAGCAGGUCUCCAUCAGCUCCUUCUACUACAAGGAGCGGAUGUCUCCUCGCUCUGCCCGGCGACGUUGGUCCAUACAAGCAAUUAACGACUUCCCGAAAUCCAGGAGAUGGAAAAGCAAGCGUGAGGGAUCGGACUCCGGCAAUCGACCCAUCAAGGCUGCUGGGAAGGUUAUCAUCCAGGACACUGCGUGCCUUCUUCCUGUUCACAAGUCACUGGGAGAACUGUACAUAUUGAAUGUGAAUGAUAUUCAAGAAACGUGUCAGAAGAAUGCCACUUCGGCCUUGCUCGUGGGAAGGAAGGACCUUGUCCAGGUUUGGUCGCUGGCUACAGUCGCUACAGAUCUUUGCCUUGGCCCGAAGUCUGACCCAGAUUUGGAAACGCCCUGGGCUCGACAUCCAUUCGGGCGACAGCUGCUGGAAUCCUUGUUGGCUCAUUACUGCCGACUCCGGGACGUCCAGACACUGGCCAUGCUGUGCAGUGUGUUUGAAGCCCAGUCUCGGCCUCAGGGAAUACCAAACCCCUUCGGACCCUUUCCCGGCCGGUCCUCUAACCUCGUGGUGUCCCACAGCCGAUAUCCUAGCUUUACUUCCUCGGGCUCCUGCUCCAGCAUGUCGGACCCAGGGCUCAACACUGGUGGCUGGAACAUAGCGGGAAGGGAGGCAGAACAUGUAUCUUCACCUUGGGGAGAGUCUUCUCCAGAAGAAAUCCGCUUUGGGAGUCUUACCUACAGUGAUCCUCGUGAGCGAGAACGUGACCAGCAUGAUAAAAAUAAAAGGCUUCUGGACCCUGCCAAUACCCAGCAAUUUGAUGACUUUAAGAAGUGCUAUGGAGAAAUCCUCUAUCGCUGGGGGCUGAGAGAGAAACGAGCCGAGGUGCUGAAGUUUGUCUCCUGUCCUCCUGAUCCUCACAAAGGGAUCGGCACAGAGCACCGUGAUGUAAGAGAAGCCUAGAUUGUGUGCAGUGUGAGAGCAGAGGUAUAUAGCCUGGGCUCUGACCAAGGUCAGAUGCCGGCAUCUCCGCAGACUGAGCUGAGAAACGAGGUGCAACAGGGGAGCAGGAAGAUGGUGGCACAUUGGGAGGACCCUAGGCUCACCUUGUCCCACGAACACAAUUAGAUAAAUAUCAAGUCAUCCUAAAUACCCCAGAAACCGACCUGAAGACUGACAGAACAAACUCCACAACUAAAGGUAGAGAAGAGGACACACUGAAGAAGGCUUGACCUGCAGACCAACUGGGAACACCCAUGGUUUGAAGAUCUCACUUGAGAAAUAACUAACUGCUGUAGAAGAUGGGGAGCCAUCAAGGAGAGUUAAACGGGAGAGUGACAGAUGUCAAAGAAGAACUUCCCGUUUGCAGCAACACUACCUAGGAAAUAUCAGAACUGGUACGGCCACGGGCCAGGGGUUCUGGUCUGGACAGGAGAGGGUAGACUUCCCUCUCCCUGCUCUUCCCCGCAAAGUACAGCUCUUAACUCUGGAAACAAUGCAGGAGACGACCAGAGAACUCUGCAAGGUGGAAAAAGAAAGGCGAGCUGGUAAAGACACCAGGGCUAGGGGAACGACAUAGAGGGAGGACGUUUUACAACCCCUCACCCAACUGAAGGAAGCGACCUGCACCCCGCCUUUUCCAGCCGCCACCCGAGCAGUAGAAGGCAGCCCAGGUGGAACAAGAGCUCUGCCAACACCAGGUGAGGCAGUAGCCCCAGCAAAAGAUCGGUUGGGAACUCGCUGACACCGAGCAGUCCCCCCCCGAGGCACCAGGUGGCUGGAGACUCCGGCAGAGGAAUCUCAACAUGACCAGCACCUGGUUCAGGAACUCUCUUUGUUCACGUGCCUGCAGAGACCAGAGAGUCGGCCUGGAAUACUCCUUUGGUCCCCCCAGGCAGCACCGGCUGGGACCAGCGGAGCCCCAGUGGCGCCAGAUAAAUUAAGCACCCUAAAAUAAUAGCACAGAGUCUCUGAAAAUUAAAUUGUCAUUGGAACCACAGUCCAGAAAAGUAGGACAGGCCCACCUAGAAACCUUAAACGUGAACAGGGUGACUGCUUGCUAAAACAUAAGACUUAAAUAGGACCCAGAGCCUCCUAACAGACUAGCCGAAAUGUCCGGGAUACAAUAGAAAAUCAUCUGUCACACCAAGAGCCAGGCUGACACGACUCAAAUAGAAAAGACAGUCAACUGACCCAACACAGCAAUGA